rnacentral:rRNA from 1 species
GAAACCGGGUUCACUCCCAACCCCAAUGUGAACGUUACCAAUCUGUUGCCUCGGCGGGAUUCUCUUGCCCCGGGCGCGUCGCAGCCCCGGAUCCCAUGGCGCCCGCCGGAGGACCAACUCCAAACUCUUUUUUCUCUCCGUCGCGGCUCCCGUCGCGGCUCUGUUUUAUUUUUGCUCUGAGCCUUUCUCGGCGACCCUAGCGGGCGUCUCGAAAAUGAAUCAAAACUUUCAACAACGGAUCUCUUGGUUCUGGCAUCGAUGAAGAACGCAGCGAAAUGCGAUAAGUAAUGUGAAUUGCAGAAUUCAGUGAAUCAUCGAAUCUUUGAACGCACAUUGCGCCCGCCAGUAUUCUGGCGGGCAUGCCUGUCCGAGCGUCAUUUCAACCCUCGAACCCCUCCGGGGGGUCGGCGUUGGGGAUCGGCCCCUCACCGGGCCGCCCCCGAAAUACAGUGGCGGUCUCGCCGCAGCCUCUCCUGCGCAGUAGUUUGCACACUCGCACCGGGAGCGCGGCGCGGCCACAGCCGUAAAACACCCCAAACUUCUGAAAUGUUGACCUCGGAUCAGGUAGGAAUACCCGCUGAACUUAAGCAUAUCAAUAAGGCGGAGGAA